GAUUAAGUUAUUAAGGGCGCACGGUGGAUGCCUUGGCACUAGAAGCCGACGAAGGACGUUACUAACGACGAUAUGCUUUGGGUAGCUGUAAGUAAGCGUUGAUCCAGAGAUUUCCGAAUGGGGGAACCCAGCACGAGUUAUGUCGUGUUAUCGACAAGUGAAUUCAUAGCUUGUCAGAAGGCAGACCCGGAGAACUGAAACAUCUUAGUACCCGGAGGAAGAGAAAGAAAAAUCGAUUCCCUGAGUAGCGGCGAGCGAAACGGGAAGAGCCCAAACCAAUAAGCUUGCUUAUUGGGGUUGUAGGACACUCUAUACGGAGUUACAAAGGAAUAUAUUAGACGAAUCAUCUGGAAAGUUGAAUCAAAGAAGGUAAUAAUCCUGUAGUUGAAAAUAUAUUCUCUCUUGAGUGGAUCCUGAGUACGACGGAGCACGUGAAAUUCCGUCGGAAUCUGGGAGGACCAUCUCUUAAGGCUAAAUACUCUCUAGUGACCGAUAGUGAACCAGUACCGUGAGGGAAAGGUGAAAAGUACCCCGGAAGGGGAGUGAAAGAGAACUUGAAACCGUGUGCUUACAAGUAGUCAGAGCCCGUUAAUGGGUGAUGGCGUGCCUUUUGUAGAAUGAACCGGCGAGUUACGAUCUGAUGCAAGGUUAAGCAGGAAAUGUGGAGCCGUAGCGAAAGCAAGUCUGAAUAGGGCGUUGAGUAUUUGGUCGUAGACCCGAAACCAGGUGAUCUACCCAUGGUCAGGUUGAAGUUCAGGUAACACUGAAUGGAGGACCGAACCGACUUACGUUGAAAAGUGAGCGGAUGAACUGUGGGUAGCGGAGAAAUUCCAAUCGAACUUGGAGAUAGCUGGUUCUCUCCGAAAUAGCUUUAGGGCUAGCCUCAAGUGAUGAUUAUUGGAGGUAGAGCACUGUUUGGACGAGGGGCCCCUCUCGGGUUACCGAAUUCAGACAAACUCCGAAUGCCAAUUAAUUUAACUUGGGAGUCAGAACAUGGGUGAUAAGGUCCGUGUUCGAAAGGGAAACAGCCCAGACCACCAGCUAAGGUCCCAAAAUAUAUGUUAAGUGGAAAAGGAUGUGGCGUUGCCCAGACAACUAGGAUGUUGGCUUAGAAGCAGCCAUCAUUUAAAGAGUGCGUAAUAGCUCACUAGUCGAGUGACACUGCGCCGAAAAUGUACCGGGGCUAAACAUAUUACCGAAGCUGUGGAUUGUCCGUAGGACAAUGGUAGGAGAGCGUUCUAAGGGCGUUGAAGCAUGAUCGCAAGGACAUGUGGAGCGCUUAGAAGUGAGAAUGCCGGUGUGAGUAGCGAAAGACGGGUGAGAAUCCCGUCCACCGAUUGACUAAGGUUUCCAGAGGAAGGCUCGUCCGCUCUGGGUUAGUCGGGUCCUAAGCUGAGGCCGACAGGCGUAGGCGAUGGAUAACAGGUUGAUAUUCCUGUACCACCUAGCAUCGUUUUAAUCGAUGGGGGGACGCAGUAGGAUAGGCGAAGCGUACGAUUGGAUUGUACGUCCAAGCAGUGAGAUUGAGUGUUAGGCAAAUCCGGCACUCUUAAGAUUGAGCUGUGAUGGGGAGAGGAAAUUGUUUCCUCGAGUCGUUGAUUUCACACUGCCGAGAAAAGCCUCUAGAUAGAUAAUAGGUGCCCGUACCGCAAACCGACACAGGUAGUCAAGAUGAGAAUUCUAAGGUGAGCGAGCGAACUCUCGUUAAGGAACUCGGCAAAAUGACCCCGUAACUUCGGGAGAAGGGGUGCUCUUUAGGGUGCAAGCCCAGAAGAGCCGCAGUGAAUAGGCCCAAGCGACUGUUUAUCAAAAACACAGGUCUCUGCUAAACCGUAAGGUGAUGUAUAGGGGCUGACGCCUGCCCGGUGCUGGAAGGUUAAGAGGAGUAGUUAGCUUCUGCGAAGCUACGAAUCGAAGCCCCAGUAAACGGCGGCCGUAACUAUAACGGUCCUAAGGUAGCGAAAUUCCUUGUCGGGUAAGUUCCGACCCGCACGAAAGGCGUAACGAUUUGGGCACUGUCUCAACGAGAGACUCGGUGAAAUCAUAGUACCUGUGAAGAUGCAGGUUACCCGCGACAGGACGGAAAGACCCCGUGGAGCUUUACUGUAGCCUGAUAUUGAAAUUCGGCACAGCUUGUACAGGAUAGGUAGGAGCCUUUGAAACGUGAGCGCUAGCUUACGUGGAGGCGCUGGUGGGAUACUACCCUAGCUGUGUUGGCUUUCUAACCCGCACCACUUAUCGUGGUGGGAGACAGUGUCAGGCGGGCAGUUUGACUGGGGCGGUCGCCUCCUAAAAGGUAACGGAGGCGCUCAAAGGUUCCCUCAGAAUGGUUGGAAAUCAUUCAUAGAGUGUAAAGGCAUAAGGGAGCUUGACUGCGAGACCUACAAGUCGAGCAGGGUCGAAAGACGGACUUAGUGAUCCGGUGGUUCCGCAUGGAAGGGCCAUCGCUCAACGGAUAAAAGCUACCCCGGGGAUAACAGGCUUAUCUCCCCCAAGAGUUCACAUCGACGGGGAGGUUUGGCACCUCGAUGUCGGCUCAUCGCAUCCUGGGGCUGUAGUCGGUCCCAAGGGUUGGGCUGUUCGCCCAUUAAAGCGGUACGCGAGCUGGGUUCAGAACGUCGUGAGACAGUUCGGUCCCUAUCCGUCGUGGGCGUAGGAAAUUUGAGAGGAGCUGUCCUUAGUACGAGAGGACCGGGAUGGACAUACCUCUGGUGUACCAGUUGUCGUGCCAACGGCAUAGCUGGGUAGCUAUGUAUGGACGGGAUAAGUGCUGAAAGCAUCUAAGCAUGAAGCCCCCCUCAAGAUGAGAUUUCCCAACUUCGGUUAUAAGAUCCCUCAAAGAUGAUGAGGUUAAUAGGUUCGAGGUGGAAGCGUGGUGACACGUGGAGCUGACGAAUACUAAUCGAUCGAAGACUUAAUCAA
rnacentral:rRNA from 1 species